GGAAUCUUCGGCAAUGGACGAAAGUCUGACCGAGCAACGCCGCGUGAGUGAAGAAGGUUUUCGGAUCGUAAAACUCUGUUGUUAGAGAAGAACAAGGAUGAGAGUAACUGUUCAUCCCUUGACGGUAUCUAACCAGAAAGCCACGGCUAACUACGUGCUAG
rnacentral:rRNA from 1 species